UCCUACGGGGGGCUGCAGUAGGGAAUUUUCCACAAUGGACGAAAGUCUGAUGGAGCAACGCCGCGUGAACGAUGAAGGUCUUCGGAUUGUAAAGUUCUGUUGUCAGGGACGAACACGUACCGUUCGAACAGGGCGGUACCUUGACGGUACCUGACGAGAAAGCCACGGCUAACUACGUGCCAGCAGCCGCGGUAAUACGUAGGUGGCAAGCGUUGUCCGGAUUUAUUGGGCGUAAAGCGCGCGCAGGCGGCUAUGUAAGUCUGGUGUUAAAGCCCGGGGCUUAACCCCGGUUCGCAUCGGAAACUGUGUAGCUUGAGUGCAGAAGAGGAAAGCGGUAUUCCACGUGUAGCGGUGAAAUGCGUAGAGAUGUGGAGGAACACCAGUGGCGAAGGCGGCUUUCUGGUCUGUAACUGACGCUGAGGCGCGAAAGCGUGGGGAGCAAACAGGAUUAGAUACCCCUGUAGUCC
rnacentral:rRNA from 1 species